rnacentral:lncRNA from 1 species
CAACCGGCUCUCAAGAAAAUUGACUGCAAGACCAGCAUUAAUCCUUCCCAAUGGCAAUGCCCACAUGAUCUAAUUACUUUGCACCAGGCCCCAUCUCUCAAGUUUUCUGCUACCUUCCAAUACCACUACACAGGGGACCUCUCACAUAAGCCUCUGAGGGACAAACUAUCCAAACUGUCACACUGACUUUGAAAAAAAUUAUUAAAAUAGGCAAACUUCUCCCAAGACUUAGGAAGAAAAAGAAAAGACACAAUAUUAAGGAUGAAAUACAAGUAUAAAUAUAGUUGAUCUUUAAUAUCUUAAGUGAAUCUAAGACUUAAUUUUUGGGGGGGGGUACUGGGGAUUGAACUAGGGUCCUUGCGCUUGCACAGCAGGCAGCGAAACCACUGAGCUAAAUCUCCACCCUAAAGACUUAAUUUUUUAAUAGAAAAUUGUAGAAAAACAUCAAAACUGACAAUCUGGACAAAUACUAUUAAAGGAAUUAAGUUGUUAAUAAAAAAUCUGACACUAUCCAUAAUCCCCAAAAGGUACCAGGCACAGACAGUUUUACAAGUGAUUUUGUACAACAUUUAGCAAACAAUCCUUUACGAAAAAUAGUCAUGAGGCUAGAAAACAGGAAACAUGCUUUUAAUAAUGCUAGUUUACUUGAUAAAAUCUGAGGACAGUACAAAAAAAACUGCAGGCCAGUAUUACUUGUAAACAUACUUGCAAAAAUCCUAUAUGAAAUAUUGGCAAAUUCAAAUGCAAUCAUUAUUAAAAUAUAAAACACUAAGAAGUGCAAGGCUAGUUUAUUAAGAGCAAACAACCUUUAAAGAAUUUAGUAAAAUCUAAAAGAUAAAUAUAUUUUUGCUGUUGUAAAAUGUAUGUAACAAAAUCUGUGGUUUUAAACAUUGUAAGUGUAAAAUUAAGUAUGGCAAUAUAUUCAACAGUUUUGUGCAAACAUCGAUAACUAUUUCCAAAAUUUCAUCAUCCCAAACAGAAAAUCUGUUCCCAUCAAGCAGUAAGUCCCUUUUUGUUUCCACUUAGCCCCUGGUACCCUCUAAUCUUUCCUUGCUUCCUUUUUCUUCCUUUUAAAUAUGGCCUUGUGUUUUGUCAUUUCAUUUCAGCCUUAAAGACUCAGACUAACAUUUAGUAUAGUACUGAAUACCUUUAGCAUUUUUCAGGGAGUCUUUCUUUCCCCAUUUUUUUUUUUUUUUGUUUUUGGUAUCGGGGAUCGAACUUGGGUCCUUGCGCUUGUGGAGCAGGCAUUGAAACCACUGAGCUAAAUCCCCGGCACUUUUCCCAUUCUUAAAGGACAAUUUUGCUGGAUAUGGAAUUCAACAUUUUUUUUUUCCUUUUAGCUUGUUAAAUGUUAUCCUACUGCCUUCUGGCCUCCAUGAUUUGUGAUCAGAAAGUAUGUGCUAAUCUUACCGAAGAUCCCUUGUAGAUGGUUUCUCUGGAGGGAUGGGUGUUUGGACUGUCUGCUUCACCAUUUUGCUGAAAUCAUUCUAUAAAUGUAUUUUUGAAC